AGUGAACGCUGGCGGUAGGCCUAACACAUGCAAGUCGAACGGCAGCACAGUAAGAGCUUGCUCUUACGGGUGGCGAGUGGCGGACGGGUGAGGAAUACAUCGGAAUCUACUUUUUCGUGGGGGAUAACGUAGGGAAACUUACGCUAAUACCGCAUACGACCUACGGGUGAAAGCAGGGGAUCUUCGGACCUUGCGCGAUUGAAUGAGCGGAUGUCGGAUUAGCUAGUUGGCGGGGUAAAGGCCCACCAAGGCGACGAUCCGUAGCUGGUCUGAGAGGAUGAUCAGCCACACUGGAACUGGGCCACGGUCCAGACUCCUACGGGAGGAACCAGUGGGGAAUAUUGGACAAUGGGCGCAAGCCUGCUCCAGCCAUACCGCGUGGGUGAAGCAGGCCUUCGGGUUGUAAAGCCCUUUUGUUGGGACAGAAAAGCAGCAGGUUAAUACCCCGCUGUUCUGACGGUACCCAAAGAAUAAGCACCGGCUAACUUCGUG
rnacentral:rRNA from 1 species